rnacentral:misc_RNA from 1 species
GAAAUGCGAUACGUAAUGCGAAUUGCAGAAUUCAGUGAAUCAUCAAAUCUUUGAACGCAAAUUGCGCUUUCGGGAUAUGCCUGAAAGCACGCCUCUUUGAGUAUCGAUUAAAUCAAACUCAGCACUUGUGCUGGAUAAUGAGUGUUUUUCUUGGGUUUAUUCUCAAGUCACUUAAAGUACAUCGGAGCAUCUGUACUGAUUGUGCAAGAUGAGUCCUCCUACAAACUAACAUGGAUAAACUUCCUACGUUUGGCUUGUGCGAGAUCAGCUCAUCAUUCAUUGCGCUUUCGGAGUUCGAGGUUAAAAUCUCGGAUUGGCUGCACCACGAAUACAAUAACAACUUUGUAUUUGAAUUAGAUCUCAAAUGAAGCGAGAGGACCCGCCGAACUUAA